rnacentral:rRNA from 1 species
AGUGAACGCUGGCGGCAGGCCUAACACAUGCAAGUCGAACGGCAGCACAGAGGAGCUUGCUCCUUGGGUGGCGAGUGGCGGACGGGUGAGGAAUACAUCGGAAUCUGCCUAUUUGUGGGGGAUAACGUAGGGAAACUUACGCUAAUACCGCAUACGACCUACGGGUGAAAGCCGGGGACCUUCGGGCCUGGCGCAGAUAGAUGAGCCGAUGUCGGAUUAGCUAGUUGGCGGGGUAAAGGCCCACCAAGGCGACGAUCCGUAGCUGGUCUGAGAGGAUGAUCAGCCACACUGGAACUGAGACACGGUCCAGACUCCUACGGGAGGCAGCAGUGGGGAAUAUUGGACAAUGGGCGCAAGCCUGAUCCAGCCAUGCCGCGUGGGUGAAGAAGGCCUUCGGGUUGUAAAGCCCUUUUGUUGGGAAAGAAAAGCAGCCGGUUAAUACCCGGUUGUUCUGACGGUACCCAAAGAAUAAGCACCGGCUGACUUCGUGCCAGCAGCCGCAGUAAGAC